rnacentral:rRNA from 1 species
CCUACGGGAGGCAGCAGUGAGGAAUAUUGGUCAAUGGUCGCAAGACUGAACCAGCCAUGCCGCGUGCAGGAUGACGGUCCUAUGGAUUGUAAACUGCUUUUGUACGGGAAGAAACACUCCUACGUGUAGGGGCUUGACGGUACCGUAAGAAUAAGGAUCGGCUAACUCCGUGCCAGCAGCCGCGGUAAUACGGAGGAUCCGAGCGUUAUCCGGAAUCAUUGGGUUUAAAGGGUCCGUAGGCGGCCCUGUAAGUCAGCGGUGAAAUCUCCCGGCUCAACCGGGAAACUGCCGUUGAUACUGCAGGGCUUGAAUUGCCGGGAAGUAACUAGAAUAUGUAGUGUAGCGGUGAAAUGCUUAGAUAUUACAUGGAAUACCGAUUGCGAAGGCAGGUUACUACCGGCGUAUUGACGCUGAUGGACGAAAGCGUGGGGAGCGAACAGGAUUAGAUACCCUGGUAGUCCACGCCGUAAACGAUGGAUACUAGCUGUCCGGCGCAAGCUGGGUGGCUAAGCGAAAGUGAUAAGUAUCCCACCUGGGGAGUACGAACGCAAGUUUGAAACUCAAAGGAAUUGACGG